rnacentral:rRNA from 1 species
AAAGAAACCAACAGGGAUUGCCUCAGUAACGGCGAGUGAAGCGGCAACAGCUCAAAUUUGAAAUCUGGCCCCCCGGCCCGAGUUGUAAUUUGCAGAGGAUGCUUUUGGCGAGGUGCCUUCCGAGUUCCCUGGAACGGGACGCCAUAGAGGGUGAGAGCCCCGUCUGGUCGGACACCGAGCCUCUGUAAAGCUCCUUCGACGAGUCGAGUAGUUUGGGAAUGCUGCUCAAAAUGGGAGGUAUAUGUCUUCUAAAGCUAAAUACCGGCCAGAGACCGAUAGCGCACAAGUAGAGUGAUCGAAAGAUGAAAAGCACUUUGAAAAGAGAGUUAAAUAGCACGUGAAAUUGUUGAAAGGGAAGCGUUUAUGACCAGACUUGGCCCGGUUGAUCAUCCAGCGUUCUCGCUGGUGCACUCUGCCGGUCCAGGCCAGCAUCAGUUCGCCGCGGGGGAAAAAGGCUUCGGGAAUGUGGCUCCCUCCGGGGAGUGUUAUAGCCCGUUGCGUAAUACCCUGCGGUGGACUGAGGUCCGCGCUCUGCAAGGAUGCUGGCGUAAUGGUCAUCAACGACCCGUCUUGAAACACGGACCAAGGAGUCGUCUUCGUAUGCGAGUGUUCGGGUGCAAAACCCCUACGCGUAAUGAAAGUGAACGCAGGUGAGAGCUUCGGCGCAUCAUCGACCGAUCCUGAUGUUCUCGGAUGGAUUUGAGUAAGAGCAUACGGGGCCGGACCCGAAAGAAGGUGAACUAUGCCUGUAUAGGGUGAAGCCAGAGGAAACUCUGGUGGAGGCUCGCAGCGGUUCUGACGUGCAAAUCGAUCGUCAAAUAUGGGCAUGGGGGCGAAAGACUAAUCGAACCUUCUAGUAGCUGGUUUCCGCCGAAGUUUCCCUCAGGAUAGCAGUGUUGAACUCAGUUUUAUGAGGUAAAGCGAAUGAUUAGGGACCCGGGGGCGCUAUUUAGCCUUCAUCCAUUCUCAAACUUUAAAUAUGUAAGAAGCCCUUGUUGCUUAAUUGAACGUGGGCAUUCGAAUGUAUCAAC